UUACAAUAAUCUUUAAUCAACAUAAAUACCAGUUUCGAUAUACAUAUAUAGAUAGCUACAUAUACAUAAAAAUUACAAGAAUACAUUGAUUAAUAUAAGGAACAAACUAAUACUAUAGAGUAUAGUAAUAAUGAUAGCCUACUUUAAGUGAGUUUCAAAAAUUGUCAGAACAUAAUAUACCAGUCCAGUCGAUUGUCCACAAGAUAUCCAUGAUAUAGUAUAAUAGUAUAGAAAUACAAAAUAAUUUUAUGUAAAUUUACAUGAUAGGGUAUCAUCAUCUAUAACAUUAUAUAAAUAAGUUUAUAAAUAAUUUUAAUUUAAUUUUAUAAAUAAUGUUUGUAAAAUAAUUUUUUUAAAUUUAAUCAUCAUUGAUGAACACUUGAACUGUUGAACCUGCCUCGUCCCUCGUCGCUUCAGUUGGGAAUAGAGAUCAGUGGAAAAACAAUGGGAGCGCGGUGCUUAAUGGGAAUGCGAUAGAAUCUGGAGCCUCAAAUUAACGCGACCGCGCGUACGGAUAACGGAUGAGGGACUGUGGAAGAGUCAGCUGUUGAAUUCGUAUUAUGUUGCAAUGCUCGGACAGAGUUUUAAUUUAUAGCGUAAUUAAUCCACGUAGCCAGGAUGUAGCCUAAUAUAACUUUUAAUUUGCU